CCGCCCCCCGAUUGCUCCCUUUGCUCCAGUUCAGCGCUAAAGAGCAGGUUUUCUUGCGGAAAGCAGCGGGGCAAGUGGAAAAUCGCUUGGACUUGCACUUUCUAGCCAUGGAACAAGCCCUGAGGAUGGUAAACACCCUGUAGACUUUUCCUUCUCUCAAAGCAUUCAUGCAAUUAAAAAGCAAGGUUAGCUAUUAACUCUAGAAUACUUUAUAAGCUUCAUGUCUUUACUUUUAAAGCUCUUCAUGAUCAGUCUUCCUAUCACUUAGCCUUCGUGGCCCUGCUAUAGACCUAGUCACUCUGUUCAUUCUUCUGAUUCUGUGCUUAUUCAUCCCAUGGUUUCUUGCACUUUAUUAUCAUCCUUUCUGUCUUCCAGAUGCUUGGAAUUCUAUUCUGGAACACUCGCAGGCUGCCGCUCACACUGUAUGAUUAAAAUCUCUCUUACAUAAGUACAUAAGAUGAGCCUGCUGGAUCUUUAUGCCCCAUCUAGUCCAGCAUCCUCUUCUCAGUGACCAACCAGGUGCCUGGGGAAAACCAGCAAACAGGAUUCGAGCACUGUCGCCUCCAGUGGCUUCCAGGAGCUGGUAUUCAGAAGUAUUGCUACCUCUAGCUGUGGAGGUAGAGCAUAGCCAUCACGGCUUGUAGCCAUAUUCACAGAGGAGAGGGUUUCUUGCAGAAGAUUCAUCACCCAGAUCCAGACAUCUAUACAUACUCCCCCCCCACACACACACACAUGGGAAAACCAACCAAUU